rnacentral:rRNA from 1 species
UACGUAGGUGGCAAGCGUUGUCCGGAAUUACUGGGCGUAAAGGGCGUGUAGGCGGUUAAUUAAGUCAGACGUGAAAACCCAGGGCUUAACCUUGGGAGUGCGUUUGAAACUGAAUAACUUGAGGAUCGGAGAGGGCAGUGGAAUUCCCAGUGUAGCGGUGAAAUGCGUAGAUAUUGGGAGGAACACCAGUGGCGAAGGCGGCUGCCUGGACGACACCUGACGCUGAGGCGCGAAAGCUAGGGGAGCAAACGGG